CCCUCCUCCACCCUCAAAGAGUAACCUCAGGUCCUCCCACCCCCAACCCCCCCCCCCCGGCCCCGGAGAUGGAGGUUUAAUAUUCUCCCAGCUGGUGUGCUAAAAGUCAUAAGGCAUGGCUGGUCAGACUGGAACAGGGUUUCUCAAACUCAGACUGCUGACUUUUGGACCAGGUCAUUCUCCUUUCUUUGCGGGUGGGGUGCGGGUGGGGAGCAGUUCUGAACACGUAGCAUGUUCGGUUCUCCCUGGCCUCUACCUGCCAGAUGCCGGACCCUCACCCCUGUGACAGACAAGUGCAUCUCCAGACAUGGCCAUGUGUCCCUGGGGAGCAAAAAAUCGCUCCAUAUUGAGAGCCACUGGACCAGAAACCAAGAGGACAUUCUUUACUAUAGUGAUGCCUGUCCUGCACCUGUGGCCAGGUACCCCUGUGCUCAGGCCACUGUCUUUGCACCCAGUGGCCAUUGCUCAUUGGUACCUGGCCCUUGCCCUGGGAUGUUCAAAGGCCCAGCAUCUUCCUCUGCUGCUUCUGUGUGGGUCUCUGGCCGGCCGGCAAGGACGGGUGUGGGCAGGUAGUCAGUCACAGGAGCACGUGCAGGCCCAUCGGCCAGGAGCCCUGGCCCUUAGGAAUGGUGCUCUCUUCUUCAGCAGCGGGAGGACCAUUUCCAGUGGGGGUCCUUGUCUGAGUAUGGGGUCUGGUGAGGGAGGGGUGGAGGCAGGAGGCAGAAAAGGCUCCCGGGGAGCUUGUUGUUAAGGGGCCUUUAAGGGAGCAGACGCCCACCUGCCCAGACAGCUCAUUGACUGAUUAAAUGGAUUCAACCCAUUUUUAGAGAGCUCCUUCUGUCAGCUCCUUCAGGCAGGUGGUGAAGACACAGAAAUAAGAUCCGGUCUGCGUCUCUGUCUCCAUCUCCAGAAACUCACAGACUAGCAGGAGAGGCACAGAUAAGGCACUGAGAGAACCCACCCAACACGCUCAGCAGCCUGCCAGCAAGAGCAAACCUUCACCGCAAAUAUGUUCCAGGGGGGGACAAGAACAGCAAUGAGCAAUAAUAGCAAAAGAAGCAAUGAGACUGGGUGGCCUCAAUCCAGGAGGUCUUCCUGGAGGAAGUGCUGCGAUAGUAUUUGAGGAAAACUGUCCCUGGAGAUGGAGAGUCUUGGAUUGAAAUCCUAUGUCUGACUGAGAGACCUUGAACCAGUCUCCUGGCAUCUCUGAGCCUCAGUCUCUGUUGAGGAGGGAUGUGAAUCCUUCUAAGACUUCCCAGUCCCUGUGCUGAGCAGGUGGAGUCCACACAACUGUCGGCAGCGGAGACCACAAUAGCAAGUUCUUAGCCUAGCAGCUGGCUCUGGGGCUGUGAACUGAGUGUAAGCCAAGAGUUGCCAGUGGGGCCUCCUGGGUGGCUCAGUGGGAAAGAAUCUGCCUGCCAAAGCAGAAGACAUGGGUUCGAUCCCUGGUCUGGGAAGAUCCCACAUGCCACGGAGCUACCAAGCUCGUGUGCCACAACUACUGAGCCUGUGUCCUGGAGCCCAGGAGCCACAACUACGGAGUCCACAAGCCACAGCUAUUGACGCCCAAAUGCCCUAGAGCCCGUGCUCUGAAACCAGAGAAGCCACCGCAAUGAGAAGCCUGCGAGCCUCAACUCGAGGAAAGCCCCCACAGCAAGGAAGACCCAGCAUAGCCAAGAAAGUAAGAGUUGCCAGUGGAUCUGGAGCACUACAACCCGGAGAAGAGGGGGUGCGCUGGGGUGGCCCCGGACCUGGGUGAGGCAGGACCCCUGGGGAAACCCGCUUGGUGCCCAGAGGGGACCCAGCCAGUGUGACAGAUGCCACUUCCUCAAUUCCCCUGCCUCCACCCCCCGCUUUACACCGUGAACAGCUUCCAUGGUGUCCAACCUGCUACCGUAAAAACGAUGGAUUAGACAGCGUCCACCAGCAGCGAGGAAAAUAAUAUCAGGGCAGAGGAGGAUCCAUCCUGAGCGUAAGGGAUGCCAAGGAUGAGGGGCGCAUGAGAGAGAGGAAGAAAAAAGGGCACAGGCCCUUCAGAGUAAGGGACGGGGGCCCGGCCUAUCGGCUUGUAUAUAUCUUGCAUUAUGCAGCGGGAGAGAGAAAAUCAAUAGAGCUGUCAGCAAUGUAAUGCAUUCAGUAUUGCAGACAGCCCCAUCUCAGGAUGCUCCAGACAGAUGCUUCAAAUUAAAAGAAGGGGGGAGGGAGAGAAGGACUGCAGGGGUGGGAGACAAACGCCCUGACAAACCAGAGGGAAAGAGGGGGCAUGACUGAGGUGCUGGGAAAAUUAAAGUCCAUUAAUCACCAGACUGGGAGAGCAUCCUGGGUGUGACUGACUGGAGACCCUUAUCAUCGGGGUGGCCGGGCCUUGGCCCCCUCUGCCAGGCGGGCUUCAUGGUGGGGGAGAGGGGAGAGCGUGGGGGCCUCUAGUAUGAGCGGGUGGUGGAGGCUGGGCUAGACUGGGGGGUGGGGGUGGGGGAAGCCAGAUGCAGUGAAUGAUAACCUUUGAGCCUCGGGGGGUGUGGGGGUCUUUGGGUUGGUGGGGAGCUCCAUGGACCUGCCCGCUGGGUGCCUGCUUUCCCCUCAACCUCAGAGUCUCUGGCCUCCUACCCCCUCCUUACAGGAGCCCCAAGGGCUGCCUGCAUCACCCCCUCCUUGGAGGUGACCCCCGUCGGGGAGCCUGGGUGGUCUGUAUGUCCUUCCCAGAACUAGCUGGCUCAGGACUUAGGAGCCCUGGGGAAGACGUGUGCAUGGGGUGUGUGUGUGUGUGUGUGUGUGUGAAGGGCCCCCCCUCCCCUCCUGCAGGAAGCCCGGUGCACCCACCCUCCCUGAAGGGUUCACCUGCCCAGGGUGGGCCAGCUGAGAAGAAAACCAGAGCCGACCCCACAUCGACGUGCGGGGAGGGGGCAGGAUGGUGCUGCCUCCAGGACGGGGUCACUUCUCACCAACAGUUGGCCCCCACUGCCCUCUGGAUGCUUCCAGACCCUGACUGGAAACAGCACAGCAAUGACUGGAGGGUCGUUUUCACCUCGGGGCUGGUUUUAAGCAGGUGUGGGCAGCAGGCGCAGGGAACCGAGAGGGAGACCGGCCCCUGGCCCAGAGUGUGGCAGGGGCGCCCCAGCUGACCGCGGACAGUCUGUGGUCGGGGCGGGCGCCCCACUGACAGGGCGGCACCUCCCGCCGAAGGACGCGCUCAACCCUCUGCAGCCUCUCGGGGAGGCUCGCGGUCUCUCCCCCCCAUCCUGCCUUCUCUCCACGUCUCCCUCUUCUCCUCCCUCCCAUCUCCCCCCAGAGCACCCCACUGGCCGACUCCCACAGGGUCAUGGUCUACGGGACCCGGAGCAGGGUGGAGUUCCGACCUGGAGGGGCCAGCCGGCCUGUCCUCACGGCGCCGGGAGCCCGUGGACGGCAGCCCUCCGGGGGCCCCAUGACCCGGUGUGAUCGCCUCGCCGUCUGGCUCCUCCGUGGUUCAGAGGCAGAGGAUUCCCUGGGCUCAGCCUGCUCCCGUCUGUCCCGCCCCUCAUCCCAGCAUCCGCCGCACUCCCUGGUCCCCGGAAGCCCCGCCACGUCUGCAGGUUCAGGCUGGCAUCCACAGGCGCAGACGCGCCCUGGCCGGUGAGCCUCCCGCCCACCCGAAAAACAGGCUGGUGAGCCGCUGGAGGCCUCCCACGUGGCGAAAGUCGCAGCACCUUUGGAGCCGGAAGGAUGGAGUCAGAAGUGGCCCCGACCAGCCUCCUUCCUGGCUGAGGCUCGGGAAAGGGCGGCUCUGGCUGCUCCCCACGUUCUCCAACUCCAAGGAACAACCCUGCCCGCCCCGCCUUCCUUCCACCUGCUCUCUGGAUCACCUGUAAGAAUUCCCCCUCAGCCCUUGCGGGGCAGACUGCUGUCCUGUUGGUGGAGGAGGACAGCUGUAGCUGGCUUGUGAAGGACGGCAGGUCCUGUGACGUUCACCUCUCCCCACACACGUAUUUCUACCUUUUCUUGAAGCUGCUUUGAAUUGGUUUGCACUUUGGGACCCAAAGGACCCCUAGGAUAGAAGACAAGGCUGCUGACGUGAUGUCAGCAUUUGAAUGUGGAGCGAACAGUUCCGGUUCCCGUGAACUGGUCGGAGCCAAUUCGAGGAGACCACCCAUGAGGUCAGCAGGUCAUCACCUAAAUGCAGGAGCCAUGUGGAGAGGACAGGAGAAGAGGAGCAAGAGCAAGGACUCCAGGACCCACAGGCUUCAGUAAUUGUGGUACACGGACUUAGCUGCCCUGAAGCUUUUGGGAUCUUCCCGGACCAGGCUGACAAGCGAGACUGAGAGGGGAGACGGGAAGGUCGUUACGAAAAUGAAGUGCGCAGCUAAGUGGCACGCCACUGCCACCCACCUGCCCGCCCAGAGUGACUGAGACGUGGGAAGCAGGCCCCGCUUGCCUCACUUCGGGGGCUCCUGGCUGGGCCGGGGGUCAGCACCACGGACAGGGCACAGCUUCGUUCUGCCUUCCCUUGGUCUGGCACGCCAGCUCCUUCUGCUCCCUGAUAAAGUUUGUUUUUCCUAAGCCUCAGAUGGGGUGUCAUCCCCCUCUGGAAAUCUUGAGUGCAGCCCCAGAUGGUGUCUGCAGGGCAAUCUUUGCACAAUCUCAUAGCACCUAUGACAGGGUGUUAAAAUGCUUCAUUUCCUUGGCUGUUUUCCCUACUCAUUUGUAAACCACCUUGAACGCAGGGUGUGUGUUACCCUCUCCAUAUUCCUGAGUCCUGACCACGCGCCCAGCACUCAGGGAGAGAAUUUGUUGGGGAAUGAAUGAAUGAACCGGUGAAUAAAUGCGUAGAUGGACAA